rnacentral:rRNA from 1 species
UACAGAGGUCCCAAGCGUUGUUCGGAUUCAUUGGGCGUAAAGGGUGCGUAGGCGGCGCGGUAAGUCGGAUGUGAAAUCCCCAGGCUUAACCUGGGAACUGCAUCCGAUACUGGAUGGCUUGAAUCCGGGAGAGGGAUGCAGAAUUCCAGGUGUAGCGGUGAAAUGCGUAGAUAUCUGGAGGAAUACCGGUGGCGAAGGCGGCAUCCUGGACCGGCAUUGACGCUGAUGAGCGAAAGCUAGGGGAGCAAACGGGG